rnacentral:rRNA from 1 species
UACAGAGGUCCCAAGCGUUGUUCGGAUUCACUGGGCGUAAAGGGUGCGCAGGUGGUCGGGUAAGUCUGAUGUGAAAUCCCGCAGCUUAACUGCGGAAUGGCAUUGGAUACUAGUCGGCUAGAGGGUUGGAGGGGGGACUGGAAUUCUCGGUGUAGCAGUGAAAUGCGUAGAUAUCGGGAGGAACACCAAUGGCGAAGGCAGCUCGCUGGGACGGUACUGACGCUGAGACGCGAAAGCGUGGGGAGCGAACAGG